GAAAUGCGAUACGUAGUGUGAAUUGCAGAAUUCAGUGAAUCAUCGAAUCUUUGAACGCACAUUGCGCCCUUUGGUAUUCCAAAGGGCAUGCCUGUUCGAGCGUCAUUUGUACCUUCAAGCUUUGCUUGGUGUUGGGCGUCUUUUUUUUUUGUCUUGGGGCCUUUUGUGCCCUGAGACUCGCCUUAAAACGAUUGGCAGCCGGCCUACUGGUUUCGGAGCGCAGCACAUUUUUGCGCUUGCAAUCAGCAAAAGAGGCCAGCCAUCCAUCAAGACCAUUCUUCUCACUUUUGACCUCGGAUCAGGUAGGGAUACCCGCUGAACUUAA
rnacentral:misc_RNA from 1 species